UGGGGAAUAUUGGACAAUGGGCGCAAGCCUGAUCCAGCCAUGCCGCGUGUGUGAAGAAGGCCUUUUGGUUGUAAAGCACUUUAAGCGAGUAGGAGGCUACUUGGAUUAAUACUCUAGGAUAGUGGACGUUACUCGCAGAAUAAGCACCGGCUAACUCUGUGCCAGCAGCCGCGGUAAUACAGAGGGUGCGAGCGUUAAUCGGAUUUACUGGGCGUAAAGCGUGCGUAGGCGGCUUUUUAAGUCGGAUGUGAAAUCCCUGAGCUUAACUUAGGAAUUGCAUUCGAUACUGGGAAGCUAGAGUAUGGGAGAGGAUGGUAGAAUUCCAGGUGUAGCGGUGAAAUGCGUAGAGAUCUGGAGGAAUACCGAUGGCGAAGGCAGCCAUCUGGCCUAAUACUGACGCUGAGGUACGAAAGCAUGGGGAGCAAACAGG
rnacentral:rRNA from 1 species